rnacentral:lncRNA from 1 species
GUCUCGGUGCUCGCUGGCGGUAGGGCACGCGCGGCCUUCUCAUUGGCGCGGAGAACACCUGCUCCAGAGCCGGAGACGCAGACACGGGCCACGGGGCUGCCAGAGCGGAGCGCGGGGAAGCGCUCGCCGCUGCUCCGUCACUGGCCGGCCGGGCCGCGAGAGCCUCACUUCACAAUACCUAAGAACAUCAAGAGAGACAAAGGGUCAAGUACCUCACUCAGCCCUUCCUAAAAACAGUAAGACAAUCAUCAGGACAAGAGUGAAUAUAUGAAGGAGGA